rnacentral:lncRNA from 1 species
UGCCUCGCCUACCCGGGCUCUGUCCUCAACUCUGCCACCACCGCUGCGUGGCCCUGCUCGCCCUGCAGCCCGACCCCUGCCUUGCCCACUCUGAGCCUCCGCGCCAGCCCAUGUAUGCCAUGGAAAUAUGGCUGUUGGAAUUCUGGUGUUUUACGACCUUCUUAACACCGUCUGCGUAUGUGCUAAGCAGUCUGAGCCAGUUCAGAAAGGAGUA